rnacentral:rRNA from 1 species
GACGAACGCUGGCGGCGUGCUUAACACAUGCAAGUCGAACGGAAAGGCCCUGCUUGCAGGGUGCUCGAGUGGCGAACGGGUGAGUAACACGUGGGUGAUCUGCCCCUUACUUUGGGAUAAGCCUGGGAAACUGGGUCUAAUACUGGAUAGGACCAUGCUGUAGGUGGUGUGGUGGAAAGAUUAGUUUCGGUAAGGGAUGAGAUCGCGGCCUAUCAGCUUGUUGGUGGGGUAAUGGCCUACCAAGGCGUCGACGGGUAGCCGGCCUGAGAGGGUGGAAGGCCACAUUGGGACUGAGAUACGGCCCAGACGCCUACGGGAGGCAGCAGUGGGGAAGAGUGGAAAAUGGGCGCAAGCCUGAUGCAGCGACGCCGCGUGGGGGAUGACGGCCUUCGGGUUGUAAACUCCUUUCGGCCAUGACGAAGCCCUUGUGGUGACGGUAGUGGUAGAAGAAGCACCGGCUAACUACGUG